CAGAGAGUAAAAUCUCCCCAACCCACUGUGAACCUAUACCUAUCUAUGCCUCGGCAGGUCCCUCUCUCCGUAAUGGGGCAAGAGGGCCUGCCAAAGGAACCUAAACUAAACUCUUUGUUUUUACAAUAUAGUCUUCUGAGUAAAUCAUAUAAAAAAUUAAAAACUUUUAGCAACGGAUCUCUUGGCUCUAGCAUCGAUGAAGAACGCAGCAAAAUGCGAUAAGUAAUGCGAAUUGCAGAUUUCAGUGAGUCAUCGAGUUUUUGAACGCAUAUUGCGCCUGCUGGCUAUUCUAGCAGGCAUGCCUGUCCGAGCGUCAUUUACGGUACUCAAGACACUAUAGGUGCCUUCUAUUGGAGAUUGGCUUAGCGGCCACCUCUUAAAUUUAGUAGCGGCGGUUGCUUCUAUUCCCUUGUGAAGUAGUAAAUAAUUCACAACGUGGAGAAUUAGUAGCUAGUCUGUACCCAAAAACCCCUUCUAGUU
rnacentral:misc_RNA from 1 species